rnacentral:rRNA from 1 species
ACGGCUCAGUAACACGUGGACAACGUGCCCUUAAGUGGAGGAUAACCUCGGGAAAUUGAGGAUAAUACUCCAUAGAUCAUGGAAUCUGGAACGAUUCAUGGUUCAAAGUUCCGGCGCUUAAGGAUCGGUCUGCGGCCUAUCAGGUAGUAGUGGGUGUAACGUACCUACUAGCCUAUGACGGGUAUGGGCCUUGAGAGAGGGAGCCCAGAGUUGGAUUCUGAGACACGAAUCCAGGCCCUACGGGGCGCAGUAGUCGCGAAAACUUCACAAUGGGCGCAAGCCCGAUGAGGGAACUCCUAGUGCUAGCACUUUUGUGUUAGCUUUUCUUUAGCGUAGAUAACUAAAGGAAUAAGGGCUGGGUAAGACCGGUGCCAGCAGCCGCGGUAAUAC